rnacentral:lncRNA from 1 species
AGGAAACGUGGGAAGAUCCUGCUAGCUUUCAUAGCAGCACUGUAAGGUUUAUGAAACACACUCUUCGGCCAAAUGAACCCAUGCGGAUUUUCCUCUCCGUCGCAGACCCCAGGCGAUUGGCUAAGAGUGACUUGAUGGCCUGUUUUGCACUCCAGGGGGAAGAAGGCAGUUAUCAUCUGUUGGUCCAUGAAAGAUGACAAGUUUCUAGCAAUUUGGAGAAGAGCAAUCUUGAUUCCUGGCCCCAGUAAAGAGUGAACUUCUUUGCCUCUCUGGUAAGUAAUGUCCCCCUUUCCUUUGCUGUCCUGAAGCUGAAAAACUAAAGUCAGGAGAAAAUUGUCAAUUGGCUCAGAAUGACAUACUCUAGCUAGAGAGCUCAAAGGCCCCUUCCAAUGCAAGCAAUACACUUUUUCAGACUUGGCCCCCUUAUUCUUUCCAAAGUCACAGAGAUUCAUUCUCGAUAAACAAAC